UGGUUGCGCGCAGCAAAAGAAUACGCAGUAACGUGGUGUAUGAGUGAGGGAGUUGGCGAACUAGUUUGGUUGCGCUCGUCACAAGUGUUCCAUUUGUGUUGCUUUGUUUGGCGACAUUGUGGCCCUUAUCAUGGCUCCUAAAUGAAAGUCAGAGUCUUCAGAUGGUAGUGCUUCGAAGAAGAGGAAAGCCAUCACGAUGGAAGUAAAAUUAGACAUUGUAAAGAGAUCAGAAGGAAUAAAGCUGCAGACUGCUUGUGUGGGACGAAAGUCACGGUCCCUGGUGGUUUGCACAUGCGUGGGAUGGCAAUCCUCCAUCACCAAGUGUAAAUGGGCACACACAAGGAAACCUCAAUAUCAGCAAGUUGUUUGUGCUUUAUGAAGUCUUUUCGUCAGUGUGCAUCCAAAAAGAGGAGAAACACUGCACCAGCAUCUGACUCAUCAAGAUGUCGUGUUGUUGCAGGUAUACAGGAGGCAGAGGGCAAGAGGCAUCAGGUAAGAAGCAAGUCUAGACGGGGUACCAGUCUGCAGGGCACAUUCACCCCGACAUGUACAUCUGUAGGUUGUGGGAUUAAAUUCAGUGAAAGGUAUUUCUAAAUCUAGUGAGUCACUGGGCUGGAAUGUCAACACAUGACUCUCAAGUUGCUGCAAAUAAAAUCCUUGUGGAAAAAUCAUCUAUCCUUUCCUAAGGACUGGGAAUUUAUUAAAUAUUAAGUAAAAAGAAACUUGCACAGCAUGAGGAAGUGUAAACUGGGUGUAGUUAUAGUUAACAUACAAGUACAAACGGUCACGGGUACAGAUGGGUUUGGGUUGAACUGACGUUUUUUGGUUUGACUUUCAGUAAAUCUCUUCACUAACGUGUGUGUGUGUGUAUAGGUGUGCAGUCAGAUGUACGUGUGUCUGUAUAUCAGACUGGCAUUAAGCCUCUUGCUAAGGAAUCGCCCGAUGUAAAGGCACUUAUGUCCCACUUAAUUGUUUGAAUU